rnacentral:rRNA from 1 species
CAGUAGCCACGGUAAUACGAAGGGUGCAAGCGUUGUCCGGAAUUAUUGGGCGUAAAGAGCUCGUAGGCGGUUUGUCGCGUCUGCUGUGAAAUCCCGAGGCUCAACCUCGGGCUUGCAGUGGGUACGGGCAGACUAGAGUGCGGUAGGGGAGAUUGGAAUUCCUGGUGUAGCGGUGGAAUGCGCAGAUAUCAGGAGGAACACCGAUGGCGAAGGCAGAUCUCUGGGCCGUAACUGACGCUGAGGAGCGAAAGCGUGGGGAGCGAACAGGAUUAGAUACCCCCGUAGUCCCUGUCUCUUAUAC